GUUCCUCCCCAACCCCUGGAUUUAUCUGAAAUGACACCUCUGCUUACGGUCCCAGGAGAUGGUGACUGCCAUGAUGAUAUUGUGUGCAAACAUAGAGCUGGCAGAGAGAAGGGCUGAAUCUGCGGAAGACAUGACGGCAGCAGCGAUAGCUCCCAAGCCGCCAAUGGAAAUGUAGGUUGGACAGAGAUAAUGCAGCACUAAUGGCAGUAUCAUAGCUGACUCUCCUCUCUCCACUGGUGUUGGAAGACCAUAGCUCGUCUGGUUCCAAUCUUGAACACAGAACAAUAAAAGAAGGUGUUGGAACAUGUGAAAAGAUGCCUGCUUGUCUGGCAGGGAGGUAGAACAGCCAGGUGAAAAGCUGAACCAGCAUGUCAAUCAGAUGAACAACUGGUCAGUGAUUCAAUGAGGGGAACAUCUUCGUCAACAACCUCAUCAGACAAUGUACAAAGCCUGGCUUAUGGUGAGAAAUGACUAGCCCAAUCUACUCUUACAGCAAUGGUUCAACAGGCAGUAAUGAUACAGCUAGAAGACAGACCUUGGGAAGGAAGCCACAUAUUUAUCCAUUGACAGUAUGUUGCCUGCUGUGUGAUCUCACUGAAACCUUCAGUUGUUUGCACAGCCAAUGGUUGUUUGCAAAAGCCAGGGAAUGGAUCCCGAACUGCUGAGGAAUAUGCUGAUGGGUCUCACCAGCACGUCAUGAAUUGCAGUCGAGUUACUCCUUAAGCUACAAACUGACAGUGAGGAGUCCGACGAUGAUGUUGACUCGCGUAACGCAUACGACAUGAGAUUGCUUGUGGCAUUCACAGGCAUGUUCACCACCUUGGAACGCUGGUUUUGGGCUCGUGAAACAAGCACUGAGUGGUGGGAUCACAUCGUCCUGCAAGUCUGGGAUGACGAGCAGUGGCUGCAGAAC